UAUAGUGAUAUUAGUAACCCUUUUGUUCUUGUGUUUGCCAUAGUCCAGCCUGAUUGCUGAUCACCUGACUCUGGCUUGUUUUUUGAUCAUGUUUUUGCAAUUGUGUUUUGGAUUGUCUGGCUGAUUUUCACUAAAGAACCUGUACUUUCAUCUAACCUCCUCCACCUCCGUGACAGAAGAAUUCAACAUUCAUGCAUGCAUCAAAGCGAACCUCUGGCAAACUCAAACACAGCACAACAACAAUUCUUCCCUGGAAAUCACUACUCUAAUGCACUGUAUUCACCAGAUCUGGCUGUCAUCAUUUUGCUCCUCAGCAUACAUUAUACAUUCAUGCAUUCUGCAUUCUACAAACCUUUUUUGGGAUCAUCUGCAGUUUUAUAAGCAUGAGGGAAUCCACCCCAAUAAUCACCCCCUAGAGGCUACUGCAGCCCGGGUUUAAUUCCUGGCCGGGGAACCGUGCAACAGUGCACUCUCAGUGCCAGUUCCAAGCCUGGAUAAAAAUUGGGGAGGGCUGCGUCAAGAAGGGCAUCCGGGCAACCACUGAUCUGCUGUGGCGACCCCUAACGGGAGCAGCCGAAAAAGGAGCAAUAACACCAUUUUAAAUUAUUGACCAGCUGUGAGGGUAUUACUCACUCCCCACUGGAUGCAUUAGAAAUACUAAAGCUUAGAGGGUCACUCCUAAAGGUUCAGAGCACAUUCCUGUAAAAACAAAUCCAUUAUGUUGAUCAAGCCUUUAUUACUGAUAUAUACUACUCUUAUUUGGAGUUUGUUCCAUUCCCAAUCCUGAUAUUACACUGGACCAUUUUCUACUUUAAUUCUAAAGCAGAAAAAUACACCAGAUUAUAAAAGAUUUAGAAUAAAAAAAAAUAUAUCAAAUUCUUGGUUUAACCCAGAACUUGCUGGUGAACUUCAUUUUAGAGACAUGUGGGUGUGGCUAGAACCACUGGCUCACAUGUGGACUGACAGACAUUCAGACAUCUCCAGAAUAAAUGCAUAAACUUGAUUCGAAAAUCAAAAACAAAUUUCUAUCUUACUUCUCUCUCAGUUUUGGCAAAACUUAGGCAGGCUUGGAUUUUUUUUUUCAUGAGAAAGGGGUUUCGUCUAAUCACCCUACACCACAGCCUAGACAUGUGAAUAAUACGAGAGAUUGUCACAUGCAGGGAAUGACUAAUACUUGCCAGAUAUUCCUGCAGCUCCGGUAAUGUUACCGCAUGUCACUUGGCAGUCUCCUUGAUAAUUUUUUUUCUUGUCCUUCCGAUAAUUUUUUACAAAAAAAAAAAAAACUGCAAUUUUAACAAGAGAGUGUAGAAACCAUAUAUCCACUGUACGUAUUAACUCAGAUUCAGCUUGUCAAAAAAGCACUGACUCUUUAAAAAAGCACUGAAAAGCAAUGCUGAAACAUUUUACUUUGCUUACCUUUUACCCUCUACCUGUUUUGUUUGACAUAUUUCUUUAAGAGUUUCAUUAUUCUGUCAAACUGCCUAUACCUUUUUUUCUUUAGCUCAUUUUUUUUAGUUGAUUUAGCUGAUUAAUUAACUAUAUUG